UGCCAGCCGCCGCGGUAACACCAGCACCUCAAGUGGUCAGGAUGAUUAUUGGGCCUAAAGCAUCCGUAGCCGGCUCUGUAAGUUUUCGGUUAAAUCUGUAUGCUCAACAUACAGGCUGCCGGGAAUACUGCAGAGCUAGGGAGUGGGAGAGGUAGACGGUACUCGGUAGGAAGGGGUAAAAUCCUUUGAUCUAUUGAUGACCACCUGUGGCGAAGGCGGUCUACCAGAACACGUCCGACGGGAGGGAUGAAAGCUGGGGGAGCAAACCGGAUUAGAUA
rnacentral:rRNA from 1 species